GCUUUAAUUAACCGACCCAAAGAGACCCCGCUAACCAACCGACAGGAACAACAAAUCUCUACAUGGGCCGACAAUUUAGGUUGGGGUGACCUCGGAGAAUAAAACAACCUCCGAAUGAUUUAAAUCUAGACUAACCAGUCAAAAGUAUUACAUCACUUAUUGAUCCAAAAACUUGAUCAACGGAACAAGUUACC
rnacentral:rRNA from 1 species